GGAGUGGAGAGCUCCGAGACGCCGAGCUUUGGUGCGCGCGCGCGCGCUAUCUCAAGAACCGAAGCGGUCGAGGGUGCGCGCGGCAGGGCGGCGUGCGGGGUUGGGAGGAGCGAGCAGACUGGUAGGCUGGGUGGACGGCGAGCGGCCGGGAGCGCGCUGUGGACUCCGCGGCCGCGAGUAGUUAGUUAGUUGUGUCAGUUGCUCGGUGGCGGCGGCCGCGAUCACCAGAAAGGGGACGGGACGGGCGGCAAUGGUGAUCAUUGCAACGGCGUGUGCUUCCCCUCAGGUCUAAUCCAGAACUUGUGCUCUCAAUGUUUCUUGGUGGCUUGUCUAAAAAACCUAAGAAGGAAUUGAUUAUUUGAAAUAAUGGUGCUUUCUCUGGA
rnacentral:lncRNA from 1 species